rnacentral:rRNA from 1 species
AUGAAAUCACCUCGGCUGCAGGCGGUCCAAGGCAAGGUAGGCGACGACUCGGUAGCCGACGAGGAGGAGCGCCAUGACGCAGACGUCCACCCAGUGGUUGUUGAGCCCGACGGCCUUGAUGGCGGGGAAGUCGGCGACAGGGCAGAGUGCGCCGCCGCCGCAGUCGUAGAGGGCCCCGCCGUCGCGGAACUGGAUGCCGAGGAGGAGCCGGUAGCAGUAGAAGCUGUAGUUGAGCCACUUGAGCCACCCGAUGAAGGGCGGGAUGUGCUGCACGUAGUAGCCGCCCGCGAUGAGGAAGACCAUGGUGACGACGGAGGCGAGCGUGGUGCCCUGCUUGACGUCCAUGAGCACGGCGCCGACGGCGAGCCCGAGGCUCUGGGCCACGAGCACGCUGUAGAGCACGACGAGGAGGGAGAGCAGGAAGGAGGCCGGGCGCGGGUCGAGGCCGCCCAUCCAGUAGAGGAUGAGGACGAAGGCGGUGGGCAGGCCGAGCUCCAUGGGGAGGUCGGCGGCGGUGCGCGCAGCGAAAUAGGAGGAGAGGCGGUACAUCCCCGAGGAGCGCUCCUUGAGCAGCAUGGGGCGCUCGAGGGGGAAGACGAAGACGGCGUUGUAGAGCGGGAAGAAGCCCCAGAAGACGGAGAAGAAGAAGAUGAGCGCGGUGCGGUCCUGCAGGUGUGCGGCGGGCGUGCGCCACCACAGGAGGCCUGCGAGGAAGGCCACGCUCAGCACCUGGAAGAUGCGGAGCUUGUUGAAGGACUCGUGGCGGCGCUCCUUGAGCCCGCGCCGGAGGAGCACCGAGAACUGGGCGCACCACCCGGCCGUCCACUCCACCCUAGCUGA